rnacentral:rRNA from 1 species
AACGCGAAGAACCUUACCUGGGCUCGAAAUGCUGUGGACCAGCUUAUGAAAGUAGGCCUUCCCGCAAGGGACCGCAGUAUAGGUGCUGCAUGGCUGUCGUCAGCUCGUGUCGUGAGAUGUUGGGUUAAGUCCCGCAACGAGCGCAACCCUUGUCCUGUGUUGCCAUACUGUUAAAAGUGGAACUCGCAGGAGACCGCCAGGGAUAACCUGGAGGAAGGUGGGGAUGACGUCAAGUCCUCAUGGCCUUUAUGUCCAGGGCUACACACGUGCUACAAUGGACGGUACAAAGGGCUGCCAACCCGCGAGGGGGAGCCAAUCCCAAAAAACCGUUCUCAGUUCGGAUUGCAGGCUGCAACUCGCCUGCAUGAAGCUGGAAUCGCUAGUAAUGGCGGAUCAGAACGCCGCCGUGAAUACGUUCCCGGGCCUUGUACACACCGCUAGUC